CUUCUCCUCGGCCAUGUCUGCUGCGCUAUCGCUCUCUUCACCGGCUGGAUCGGAGUCGCAGCCACCACAGAUGGAUCGGAGUCGGCAGCCGCCGCCCUUGUCUCCCGCGGGAUCGGACGCAAUUCGUCAAGGAGGAGCACGGGGCCGGCAACGUGCUAGCAGGAGCACAGGCCGACGACGCGCUGGGCUAGCAGGAGCAGAGCAGCUAGCGACACGCUGAAUGAUAAUGUAGUAGUGCUGCUAGAAUGGCCAACUAUAGUGUGUUGAUGAUGUAGAAGUGAUGUUUUAUGCGUGUGGUUAUGAAAUGCUCACUAGAUUGCUUUGUUCACUAGAGGUUUUUGUUCUUAACUGUUGCAGCUGCUUUUAGUGUGUGUCGGAAUUUUGAUGAAUAGUAUGUCAGAAAUACAAACACGGAACUGUUGCCUCAGUUCUCUGCAGAACAUUAGCUCUAAUAGAUAUCUCUAUAUGGACGGAAUACAAAAAUACAUUAGAAAGUUCAAAUCA